AUUGAACGCUGGCGGCAGGCCUAACACAUGCAAGUCGAGCGAGCGGCGGACGGGUGAGUAAUGUAUGGGGACUGCCCCAUAUAGGGGGAUAACUCCUGGAAACGGUAGCUAAUACCCCAUACUAUCGGAUAACCCCAAUGGGAUUAGCUAGUAGGUGAGGUAAUGGCUCACCUAGGCGACUAUCCCUAGCUGGUCUUAGAGGAUGAUCAGCCACACUGGGACUGAGACACGGCCCAGACUCCUACGGAGGCAGCAGUGGGGAAUAUUGCGCAAUGGGCGCAAGCCUGAUGCAGCCAUGCCGCGUGUAUGAAGAAGGCCCUAGGGUUGUAAAGUACUUUCAGUAGGGAGGCGUUACCGACAGAAGAAGCACCGGCUAACUCCGUGCCAGCAGCCGCGGUAAUUC
rnacentral:rRNA from 1 species